GGAUCCUCCCAGAUAGGGCCGCCCAGUCCAGAUCAGGCCACCCAGCCCAGCGUGGCAGGCACUGAUGGACACCGGCUGAGUCACCAUUUCCUCCUGGCCCCUUGCCCGGGCCCGAUGCUUUCUGGGGACUUUCCUGAACAUCAAAAACAAGGUAACAGGAUGUUCCUGUACUCAAGCAGCUCCUCCCAGCCCCAGCCCGCCACUCUCUGAGGACAGAGGAGUUCUCUGCUUGGCUUCCACUGUUCAGCCCCCGCCAGCCUCUGAGACUCCCACAGGGAGUGCAGGUAAGGGGCCCAGCGCUCGGCUCCCACCCCAGCUCAGCCUCCUCAUGUGUCCUUGGGCCAACCCUCUCCCAGUCCUGGGCCUCAGUUUUCCCUUCUGAAUCAUGGGCCCCUCCGCUUUCCUUGGCCAGGAAUUUAGUCUCCAAGAUAGUGACCAGGAAUGGCAGUCCCAGUUCCCUCAGCAGCCGGAUGGAGGCGGAAAAUAAACCAAGAAGCCUGGUUUCUUUCUCCACACAUUUACUUUUAAAAAAUAACUGUACAAAAUAAUGAUUUCUUAAGGCAUAUCAGAAAUGCUGAGUCCCAGGCCGGGGCCCUGCCCCAGCCAGCGCUGGCACUCUGCAGUUGGGAGCUUGUCCAGCUGCCCCCUCUAGUGCUCUUCUCCUCCAGGACACAAGGAGCCUCCGGAAGCACAGUAGUCCCGGGCUGUCACCUUAGGCUGACCUCUGUCCCCAGGUAUGACGUAAUGUUGUCACUGUCUUGAAUUCUUCAUCAUUUAACGGGGAGCCCAGUGCUUUCACUUUGCACGUUAGGUAUCUGGUCUUGCCUGUCCUACCCUGAACCUGGGUUCCCUGGGCCAUGGAACACCCACGCAGCUCUGAUGCCCCUGGGUACUUGGAGGAGCUCCCAGGAAGUCCAAGCCUGCGCCAGGAACCUCUGGCUUUCAAAGUCUUCAAAGGCUGGAGCGGCUGCCCCUGCCACCCACAGACACCACAUAGCUCUGACAACCUGCUUUCCUGAACGCCUCGUUCCUGGGUCCUUUCACCCACUGGACCUCACUGUGUGGCCUCAACUUUGAGGCACCUGCCCUCUGAACCCCCAGUUCUACAAUAAACGGGGUGGAUUC